GGUGGGAGCGAGCCUGCUCGCGAUAGCGGUAUAUCAGUUGGCAUUUGAGUUGACUGACCCAGCGCCAUCGCGAGCAGGCUCGCUCCCACC
rnacentral:misc_RNA from 1 species